UACGUAGGGGGCAAGCGUUGUCCGGAAUCAUUGGGCGUAAAGCGCGUGUAGGCGGUUACGUAAGUCUGCUGUGAAAGUCGGAGGCUCAACCUUCGAAAGCCGGUGGAUACUGCGUGACUAGAGUACGGAAGAGGAGAGUGGAAUUCCUGGUGUAGCGGUGAAAUGCGCAGGAUAUCAGGAGGAACACCAACGGCGAAGGCAGCUCUCUGGGACGUUACUGACGCUGAGACGCGAAAGCGUGGGGAGCAAACAGG
rnacentral:rRNA from 1 species